AUGGUGGUACUUUCUAUUGUUGUGGUCUCAGUUGUUAUCCGCGGCUUGGUACUUUCUGUUGUUGUGGUCUCUGUUGUUGUACUUUCUGAAUUGGUGGUGCCUUCUAUUGUUGUGGUACCAGUGGUGGUACUUUCUGUUGCUGUGGUCUCCAUUGUUGUACUUUCUGGAGUAGUGGUGCCAGUAGUUGGACUUUCUAACUCUGUUGUGCUUUCUGGAGUUGUAAAACCAGUGGUGGUGCUUUGUGUUGUUAUGGGGUCUGUUGUGGUGCCUGUGGUGGUGCCUGAGGUGGUACUUUCCAUUGUUGUGGUCUCAGUUGUUGUGCUUUCUGGUGUUGUGGUACCUGUGGUGGUGCUUACUGUUGUUGCAGUGUCUGUUGUGCUGCUUUCUGUAGUUGUUGUUUCCAUCUUUGUACUUUCUGAAGUUGUAAUGCCAGGGGUGGUAUUUUCCGUUGUAGUGCUUUCUGUUGUUGUACUUUCUGAAGUGGUGGUGCCUUCUGUUGUUGCGGUACCAGUAGUUGUACUUUCUACUGUUGUGGUCUCUGUUGUUGUCCCGGGGGUGGUACUUUCUGUUGUUGUGGUCUCUGUUCUUGUACUUUCUGGAGUAGUGGUGCCAGUAGUUGUACUUUCUAACUCUGUUGUGCUUUCUGGAGUUGUAGAACCAGUGGUGGUGCUUUCUGUUGUUAUGGUGUCUGUUGUGGUGCCUGUGGUGGUACUUUCUAUUGUUGUGGUUUCAGUUGUACUUUCUGGUGUUGUGGUACCUGUAGUGAUGCUUUCUGAUGUUGUAGUGUCUGAUGUGGUGCUUUCUGUAGUUGUGGUUUCCAUUGUUGUACUUCCUGAAGUUGUAAUAACAGGGGUGGUACUUUCUGUUGAAGUGCUUUCUGUUGUGGUACUUUCUGAAGUGGUGGAGCCAGUGGUUAUACUCUCUGUCAUUAUGGUGCUUUCAGUUGUUGUGGUCUCUGUGGUAGUACUAUCUGUAGUGGUGGUGCCUUCUGUUGUUGUGAUCUCAGUUGUGGUGGUACUUUCUAUUGUUGUGGUCAUGGUUGUUGUCCCGGGGGUGGUACUUUCUCUUGUUGUGGUCUCUGUUAUUGUACUUUCUGGAGUAGUGGUGCCAGUGGUUGUACUUUCUAACAGUGUUGUGCUCUCUGGAAUUGUAGAACCAGUGGUGGUGCUUUCUGUUGUUAUUGUGUCUGUUGUGGUGCCUGUGGUGAUACUUUCUAUUGUUGUGGUCUCAGCUGUUGUGCUUUCUGGUAUUGUGGUACCUGUGGUGGUGCUUUCUGUUGUUGUAGUGUCGGUUGUGGUACUUUCUGUUGUAGAUCUUUCUGUUGUUGUACUUUCUGUAGUGGUGGUUCCAGUGAUUGCACUUUCUGUCAUUGUGGUUCUUUCUGGAGUUGUGGUACUGGUGGUGGUGCUUUCUGUUGUGGUCUCUGCGGUAAUACUUUCUGUAGUGGUGGUGCCUUCUGUUGUUGUGAUCUCAGUUAUGGUGGUACUUUCUAUUGUUGUGGUCUCAGUUGUUGUCCGCGGCUUGGUACUUUCUGUUGUUGUGGUCUCUGUUGUUGUACUUCCUGGAGUAGUGGUGCCAGUGGUUGUACUUUCUAACACUGUUGUGCUUUCUGGAGUUGUAGAAUCAGUGGUGGUGCUUUCUGCUGUUAUGGUCUCUGUUGUGGUGCUUUCUAUUGGUGUGGUCUCAGUUGUUGUACUUUCUGGUGCUGAGUUACCUGUGGUGGUGCUUUCUGUUGUUGUAGUGUCUGUUGUGGUGCUUUUUGUAGUUGUUGCUUCCAUUGUUGUACUUUCUGUCAUUGAGGUGCUUUCUGGAGUUGUGGUACCAAUGGCUGUGCUUUCUAUUGUUGUGGUCUCUGUGGUAGUACUGUCUGGAGUGGUGGUCCCUUCUGUUGUCGUGAUCUCUGUUGUGGUGCCAGUGGUGGUACUUUCUAUCGUUGUGGUCUCGGUUGUUGCCCCGGGGGUGGUAUUUUCUGUUGUUGUGGUCUCUGUUGUUGUACUUUCUGGAGUAUUGGUGCCAGUGGUUGUACUUUCUAACACUGUUCUGCUUUCUGGAGUUGUAGAACCAGUGAUGGUGGUUUCUGUUUUUAGGAUAUCUGUUAUGGGGCCUGUGGUGGUAUUUUCUAUUGGUGUGGUCUCGGUUGUUGUGCUUUCUGGUGUUGUGGUACCUGUAGUGGUGCUUUCUGUGGUUGUAGUGUCUGGUGUGGUGGUUUCUGUAGUUUUGGAUUCUAUUGUUGGACUUUCUGAAGUUGUAAUACCAGUUGUGGUACUUUCUGUUGUUGUACUUUCUGUCAUUGUGGUGCUUUCUGAAGUUGUGAUACUGGUGGUAGUGCUUUCUGUUGUUGUGGUCUCUGUGGUAGUAUUUUCUGUAGUGGUGGUUCCUUCUGUUCUUGUGCUCUCAGUUGUGGUAGUACUUUCUAUUGUUGUGGUCUCUGUUGUUGUACUUUCUGGAGUAGUGGUGCCAGUGGUUGUACUUUCUAACACUGUUGUGAUUUCUGGAGUUGUAGAACCAGUGGUGGUGCUUUCUGUUGUUAUGGUCUCUGUUGUGGUGCCUGUGGUGGUGCUUUCUAUUGUUGUGGUCUCAGUUGUUGUGCUUUCUGGUGUUGUGGUACCUUUGGUGGUGCUUUCUGUUGUUAUAGUGCCUGUUGUGGUGCUUUCUGGAGUUGUGGUAUCGUCUGUAUUUGUGGUUUCCAUUGUUGUACUUUCUGAAGUUGUAAUUCCAGGGGUGGUGCUUUCUGUUGUUGUGGUCUCUCUUGUGUAG
ensembl:lncRNA